rnacentral:rRNA from 1 species
UGUGAGGUUAAGCGACUAAGCGUACACGGUGGAUGCCCUGGCAGUCAGAGGCGAUGAAGGACGUGCUAAUCUGCGAUAAGCGUCGGUAAGGUGAUAUGAACCGUUAUAACCGGCGAUUUCCGAAUGGGGAAACCCAGUGUGAUUCGUCACACUAUCAUUAACUGAAUCCAUAGGUUAAUGAGGCGAACCGGGGGAACUGAAACAUCUAAGUACCCCGAGGAAAAGAAAUCAACCGAGAUUCCCCCAGUAGCGGCGAGCGAACGGGGAGGAGCCCAGAGCCUGAAUCAGUGUGUGUGUUAGUGGAAGCGUCUGGAAAGGCGCGCGAUACAGGGUGACAGCCCCGUACACAAAAAUGCACAUACUGUGAGCUCGAUGAGUAGGGCGGGACACGUGGUAUCCUGUCUGAAUAUGGGGGGACCAUCCUCCAAGGCUAAAUACUCCUGACUGACCGAUAGUGAACCAGUACCGUGAGGGAAAGGCGAAAAGAACCCCGGCGAGGGGAGUGAAAAAGAACCUGAAACCGUGUACGUACAAGCAGUGGGAGCACGCUUCGGCGUGUGACUGCGUACCUUUUGUAUAAUGGGUCAGCGACUUAUAUUCUGUAGCAAGGUUAACCGAAUAGGGGAGCCGAAGGGAAACCGAGUCUUAACUGGGCGUUAAGUUGCAGGGUAUAGACCCGAAACCCGGUGAUCUAGCCAUGGGCAGGUUGAAGGUUGGGUAACACUAACUGGAGGACCGAACCGACUAAUGUUGAAAAAUUAGCGGAUGACUUGUGGCUGGGGGUGAAAGGCCAAUCAAACCGGGAGAUAGCUGGUUCUCCCCGAAAGCUAUUUAGGUAGCGCCUCGUGAAUUCAUCUCCGGGGGUAGAGCACUGUUUCGGCAAGGGGGUCAUCCCGACUUACCAACCCGAUGCAAACUGCGAAUACCGGAGAAUGUUAUCACGGGAGACACACGGCGGGUGCUAACGUCCGUCGUGAAGAGGGAAACAACCCAGACCGCCAGCUAAGGUCCCAAAGUCAUGGUUAAGUGGGAAACGAUGUGGGAAGGCCCAGACAGCCAGGAUGUUGGCUUAGAAGCAGCCAUCAUUUAAAGAAAGCGUAAUAGCUCACUGGUCGAGUCGGCCUGCGCGGAAGAUGUAACGGGGCUAAACCAUG